rnacentral:rRNA from 1 species
CUGGCUCAGAACGAACGCUGGCGGCGUGCUUAACACAUGCAAGUCGAACGCGAAAGGGACUUCGGUCCUGAGUAAAGUGGCGCACGGGUGAGUAACGCGUAGAUAACCUGUCUUUAUGUCUGGAAUAAUACGCCGAAAGGGGUACUAAUACCGGAUAUUUUUGCAUUGCAUAAGCAGUGUAAGCAAAGGUGGCCUCUGACAUAAGCUACUGCAUAAAGAGGGGUCUGCGUACCGUUAGCUAGUAGGUGGGGUAAAGGCCUACCUAGGCUACGAUGGUUAGCGGGUCUGAGAGGAUGAUCCGCCACACUGGCACUGGAACACGGGCCAGACUCCUACGGGAGGCAGCAGUGAGGAAUAUUGCGCAAUGGGGGCAACCCUGACGCAGCGACGCCGCGUGAGUGAAGGAAGGCCUUCGGGUCGUAAAGCUCUGUCAAAGGGAAAGAAGUGCAUGGUGGUUAAUACCUGCCAUGUUUGACGGUACCCUUAAAGGAAGCACCGGCUAACUCCGUGCCAGCAGCUGC